UACGUAGGGUGCGAGCGUUAAUCGGAAUUACUGGGCGUAAAGCGUGCGCAGGCGGUUUUGCAAGACGGAUGUGAAAUCCCCGGGCUUAACCUGGGAAUGGCAUUUGGGACUGCAAGGCUGGAGUGCGGCAGAGGAGACUGGAAUUCCUGGUGUAGCAGUGAAAUGCGUAGAUAUCAGGAGGAACACCGAUGGCGAAGGCAGGUCUCUGGGCUGACACUGACGCUCAGGCACGAAAGCGUGGGGAGCAAACAGG
rnacentral:rRNA from 1 species